UUAGCCUUUCAUUGUGAAGAC
rnacentral:siRNA from 1 species